GACGAACGCUGGCGGCGUGCUUAACACAUGCAAGUCGAACGGAAAGGCCCUGCUUUUGUGGGGUGCUCGAGUGGCGAACGGGUGAGUAACACGUGAGUAACCUGCCCCUGACUUUGGGAUAACUUCAGGAAACUGGGGCGAAUACCGGAUAGGAGCUCCUGCUGCAUGGUGGGGGUUGGAAAGUUUCGGUGGUUGGGGAUGGACUCGCGGCUUAUCAGCUUGUUGGUGGGGUAGUGGCUUACCAAGGCUUUGACGGGUAGCCGGCCUGAGAGGGCGACCGGCCACAUUGGGACUGAGAGACGGCGCAGACUCCUACGGCAGGCAGCAGUGGGAAAUAUUGCACAAUGAGCGGAAGCCUGAUGCGGCAACGCCGCGUGCGGAAUAACGGCCUUCGGGUUAUAAACCGCUUUCGCCUGUGACGAAGCGUGAGUGACGGUAAUGGAUAAAGAAGCACCGGCUAACUACGUG
rnacentral:rRNA from 1 species